rnacentral:rRNA from 1 species
AUUGAACGCUGGCGGCAGGCCUAACACAUGCAAGUCGAGCGAGCGGCGGACGGGUGAGUAAUGUAUGGGGACUGCCCGAUAGAGGGGGAUAACUACUGGAAACGGUGGCUAAUACCGCAUACUAUCGGAUAACCCAUAUGGGAUAAGCUAGUAGGUCGGGUAAAGGCUCACCUAGGCGACGAUCUCUAGCUGGACUGAGAGGAUGAUCAGCCACACUGGGACUGAGACACGGCCCAGACUCCGACGGAGGCAGCGGUGGGGAAUAUUACACAAUGGGCGCAAGCCUGAAGUAGCCAUGCCGCGUGUAUGAAGAAGGCCUUAGGGUUGUAAAGUCCUUUCAGCGGGAAGACGUUACCCGCAGAAGAAGCACCGGCUAACUCCGUGCCAGCAGCCGCGGUAAUUC